rnacentral:misc_RNA from 1 species
UUGGGAUCCACAUUUUCCGUGCUAAAAUUGGAGAAUUGAAUGGAGCAUCUCUUAAUUUGUUCCAUAAAUUGGGCUUUGAGAAGGCUUCUUAUAGUGAAAUCUUCAAAGAGGUGACAUUGGAAUUACCACUGACAAGGCCUAAACGUGAGGAACUGCUGAAUUUGAUUGGUAUCAUGGUUACGCAUACAUCGCCCUCAAGAACUGUUAAUUAAUUUUUAUUGUAUUACUCUUUCAAGGAAAUCUUCCCU